UCUUUGACAAUUGCAGUAAAAAAAAAAACAAAUUCAGAGCAAGCAGAAACGAAAAGCACCGAUAGUAAAGAGAUCUGCGAACUGAAGUAAAAACAAGAUAAAACUCAGCGCGUAUGGAGAAACCACUAAGAGGCUGAACAGGCUUAAAACCUCAAAAAGGUAUGUCUGCCAGAACGAUUCUAGUGACCAUCCCCUCCGGGGUCAAUGAAAAUUGUGUUGUGUGAACGUAUUAGAGUACACGAUUCAAGUGUUCAGAUAGAAUGCAAUUUUUACAUAGCGCCGUUGGCUUGCAAAAAAACUUGUAACUGGGAAACGUUCUCCAUUCAGUCUUCACUAGCUUGACUUGAAAAUGAAAUACUAACAUUUCAUAUUGCUAAAAUGUCACGCUCAUUUGACUAUUGCAUAAAUCGAUUAUAAGGAUGAUCGUAACUCCGCCUGCAUGAUCGCGGGGUGAACCGAGUAGCCCUGUGAUUAUGUUGCCGGUCCCAAGCCCGGAAAAAGGAGGAGGGUUCAUGGGUCAGGGCCAGCUCCCUACCCAAGGUAAAAACAACCACAGGCUCACAGAACCCAUAGAUGAAUACUGAAACCGAAAGAACGACGAUCCGUAACUACCUCGAACAAGGAUGGAUUAUAAGCAAAAAAGAAGAAUAGCACCUUGCGGAUGCCCUUUUUCACCGAAUCUGAAAGCGCCCUCAGCAGAGAUCUAGUGCUGAAUUUGUUAUCUAGCCACACCAAGUAAUCCCCAGUACCUCUUUCUUAAAACGAAUGGAGCCAAUUUAUGUUUAUCCUGUAACAUUCAUCUAGUACGUUGAAGCAACCUAAAAAACGGCAAGCCUUCUGCAGAAGAAAGGAUAAAGUCACCCUCCGGAAAAGAAGUAGAAACCAGCUACUUAGUGCUUGUUGAAUUGAAAACUGCUGUUUGAUUGAAUUUUCUUGUACUUGUAAAUAUCGUAUUGCGUGUGUCGCAACGCCACCCGAUGAAAAAACAAACCAGAAACCAAUUACUUAACGAUUCUGGUUUAAACGUAAACAUUUCGUUGUAAUGUUGUAACGCAAACGUACGCGUUCGGUUGUUUACCAAGUUGGAAGAAAGUCAUUCAACUGCGGACCCGGUUGUGUUUUGUUUACCGCAUCGGUUACGCCGCUUGAAGUUUAUUGUUUUACGAAUUUACUGGAAAUUCCUCUUCCACUUUUUACUGUUCCGAAAAAUCAGCAGGAUAUGGACCGCUACAAGGACCAUCCACUCGCGCAAUACCAAGCAGAAACAGUUGGCGUUCUUUUUUCUACGAUAAUCAUUAAAGUCAACCUUGCAACAGGAUUUGAAGGUGUUGAAAGUAAUUGCGAAUCUUUAUCCCGCAGGGCUGCGCAGCCUUGAUAUUGAAUCAAUAGUGCCGAAGUGGCCAGUCAGAUGACAAAAAACCAAAAAACCAAAAAAAUAACUCCGCGAUUAUCAGUUCAACGCACCUUGCGUAUAGAAAACGUUGCUGUUGUGCAUCCAUGUUGGAAAAGCCCAUAAAUAUGUCGCUUAUAACAUGUAAGCGUACACUAAUAAUAUUAAGGCCUAGUUGGAGUAACGGAUCCGACGAGAGUUAAGAAGCUAUUAUAAGUCGCCGACGUUUCCGAGGUCAAAAACCUGCCGCACCAUGCAGAAGACACUUUGGCUAGAGAAUUUGAAUAAAAUAUUCCAUAAAUAGGAAACCGACAUUUAGAGAACUUACACCUAAAAACGAAUGCUCAAGUUUCCGAAGAAGGUACCAUCUAUUACCAGCCCAUUUUGAACCCGGAAGCGACCCGUGGUUUCAGAAGGCAGGCAAAAAAACCUUUUAAUACUAGUGGCAUCUGCGGUGCGUGUUGUCAAGGUACUGCAGUGGCACCUUAAAUAGGGGUUUAAGAAAAAGGGCGGGUCAUCUGCAAAAAUCGAAUGGGCGAAAAGCUUCAGGUUAUGCCCAUACCACGGUCUCGUAUAUUGUAUACAAGAGCACAAUCUUAAGGGGUGAUUCUUCGAUACAAAUUUAGGUCUAUAGGGUUCUGGAGCUGCUUUUUGAAAUUUGGAAAUUGAUUGAAAGAUUUUUUAUUUGUUUAUGUCAGAAGAGAUUGACUAAAAUUAACUUGAUGGGAUUGAAACUGGUAGAGUUUUUCGUGGUCGUUUAGGCCCUCGAGGGAUAUAAUUUUGUUUUGCAAAACCGAGGGGCUUGCAUCUUCAGAACUGAUUCUGCGUCUAGCAAACCACCUAAAGAUACAAAUCAUUUUCCUUUCCUUAAAUUUUAAUUUAACGUUUGGUGCGAAAUGGUAAGUUCAAAAAUUCGUGGUACAUUUAUUAAGUUCGUUCGGAAUGAUCUUUAGAACAUGAUGUUAUUUUAGUUUUCCGUCUAGGAUUAUCCCUAUGUUUUAAUAAUUAUCGUAAUUAUUCAUAUCAUUUGAUGAAAAAACCUUGCAACUGUUUGAAUGUACAUGACAAUCAGAUCAUCCGAAUGUAUUAAAAUUGCCGUGAACUUGAGAUAGCAACAAAUCGGAUGUUUAAAGUUUUUAAGUUCUUCUGAUUUGCGUCAUCUAAAUUGAGUGAUUAUUUAGCAGUACCGGGCGGCAACACACGCAUGGAUUGGAAUCAGAGCCGCCUUCACAGGUGUGAGGCUUAACGAUACCUGCACGUAAUUGCCAUCACCAUCUGCUGCGAGUAUUCUGCAGGCAACUGCUCCUGGUGCAUGGUCGGCAGGGUAAAUGCACUCAGUGCAGCGGCGUCAUCGAACCCGCUGAUCGACACCGUUAGGUGCAGCUCCGUCGCGACGACGCCAUGCAUCGACCCUUGGGAGGCCGAUGAACCUCCAUUGAACGCUAGGCGCGUAAGUGUGAAUGAAAGUAUUCAAUUAGUACUAUUGCAGAGAAAAAAGUUUGGUGGCCGUUCCAUAAAGCGGAAGCGCCGAUUUGAGUGCCACAAAAAUUCACCAGUGAAUAACCAAAAAGCAAUUUGUUGACCUCGAGACCUUGAAACCCGGAAACGUCUUUCGGUCGUUAGACGCAACCUCAGGCCUGCUUCAGAUGCGGAAGGAGAACGAACGUCCUCUUCUCCAUCUCUGUCGGUUUUGCUCUUGAAAUUCCACAGAAACAGGCCAACAUUUGAAACGCUACCGGCCUCUCCACAACGACUUAUUCAAUAUCAGGACCAUUCUAACCGAAAUACCUCCCCCUGAUCAGAUUUAUAACCGACAUAAACGGCCCUGACACACACAAGGUCGCAAAAUACGUUGGCGUUGCUUUGUCCGCUCCUUCUGCUUUAGCGGUGCGAAAAAAUCACAAAACGAAAAGUCGCCAGUUGUCCUCGAAAAGUUAGUUCACCUUCCUUGCAACUUCUUCUUCGCGCCGAACGAAGAACGACUUGGCAACCGACGUAAUCGUUCUCGACAUUGAACUUACUUUGUUUUGGUAAUCGAUCAUCGAAUCGGAUAUGCCGUAACGAAUUAAACGGCUAAUGCUAUGGAUUUUAGGAGGCACUUGUUUUCGCUAGACAAUUGCUUUUGGCACAACCAGUUGCGGUUAAAGGAUAUUCAAUGGGUGACCCCAAUAAUGGGAUGUGAACUGAUUCCGAACUCGUUUUUCAUAUUGUCCGGCGUUUUAAUCUAAAUAUUUUCCGCAAUAAAAUUCACUUGAACUGAUUGUGAAUAAGUUCGUAUUUUUUCUCGCAGAGGGCGGUCGACCGCCCCCUUUUUCCGUCCCCAAAAUCGAGGUCAGUCACACCAACUAGAAGGCUCUCGACCUCAAUUGCGCUGUUUGACGAUUACAGCGCUCGGCGCAUUUUUCCUCCUCGUUGCCUACAUUUACGAACACUAUUCGAGCACGCAUCAUUGCAAGACAAUUUUCUCGAGUGUCUUCGAUUGAGGGAAACUAUGUGACAAUAACGACGAGUAUAACAUAGCAAUAUUUAUCUGUGAUCUUGGCUUACAUUAGCAAACUUAAUACUUAUGUGCACGUCUGUUCAGUAUACAGUGAGUUAGUAAAUAAGUGCAACAAAUUUGAGGGGGUGAUUCUGCAUGAGGAAAAUCCACGGCUCCAAGCUCAUUUUCGGCAUCGGUUUACCAUUAAUGGAUGGCCACAAGAAGAGUUACUUAUGUUCUUCUUGAGGACAUAUCUCUACAGUUGAGACAACACUUAUAGUACAUGCCAACACACUUCAGCAUCAACACAGCUUUAUGUUGGGAGUCGAAACAGUGAAGAUUCAGCAGCAUGAGGAGAGAAGUAGAUGAAGAAGACUAAGCAACGAUGACAAGAUCCUGCGCCAUAACGAAGCAAUGAUAUAUGACGAUAGUCUUAGAUUUUUAGGAUAGGUUUAGAAUUAAUUUCCAAUAAGAAUUAGGUUAAGUACUGCCAUAGAGUAAAAUGCAGUGAACACGUAAAUCAACUGUGAUCAAUGUAAUGAAAUUAAAGGGUUCCCAAUGUUCUUCAGAUCACAAGAA